rnacentral:lncRNA from 1 species
GAAGAGCUUUUAGCAACAAAGUUACCCAAUGCCCUUCCCUAGUCUCUCCUUGCAACUGGCUCUCAGCAGGGGGUGGGAGGAAAUCCUUGACAGAACCAAUUUACAUGACUGUUUGGAGGACUCUGGCUAGCCCCAGGAGGUGUUUGCAUUUUUAAAUGGUUACUAGUGUCAGAAUGUUUCAUGAGUAAGAGCACAGCCUCUAUGUUGGAUGCCCUGAAUUUGAAUCUCAGCAUUGCCACUUUGUAUAUAACCAGAGGAUGGAUUUGGGGACCCAAUGGAUCUACCAUGACAUGAAGUUGUACCAACAUUCACCUGACCUCCAAAAUGCC